CCUGAGAAACCCGAAAGAUCGAAGGGGGAGAUUCACCGUCAGCGACGAAGGCUUCUCGUCGGCUCGUCGCGCGCUCCCGCGGCCACCCCUCGCGGGGUGCGUCGCGUGCGUAGUCGCGCGGCGUCCUUCGUGCGCGCGCGCCAUCGAGCGCGCGCGUCUAUGCCCGACGGCGUCGGCGUGCACUUCUCCCCUAGUAGAACGUCGCGACCCGCUGAGCGCCGGUCUACGGCCCGGUGCGUCGCCUGUCCCGCCGUCCCUGGUGGCGUCGCGGGGCAGACGCCCGGUGCACCAUCCCGACCGGCUGCCCGGCGGUAUCACUCGCAAGGUACUCUGGCCGCAAGUGCGCGCGUUCCGCGCGCGCACCGUGCGUCCUUCGAAAAAGGCUCGCCGCAAGCGCGGUCAGUUACACGCAAAACCCGUGUCUGUACGGACGACUACACGCCGUCGCCGGGGCUGACCCGCUGUUCGCUGCGCGAUGUCCUCGGACAGGCAUGUGUAGUACCGGUCAGCGACGCUAUUGCUUCGGGUACUUUCAGG
rnacentral:rRNA from 1 species